rnacentral:lncRNA from 1 species
GGAAGCGGGAUGUAGCUGGUCCGGAACUGCUCCACCAUGACCCAGAAGUUUGCUGCUCCCCACAUGAAAACGUUCUUCCUGCUUUUUCAAAUCAGGUGACCGUUUCUAUGCUCCUCUUAGAACACUGAGACUGGAUGAAAGGUCGCCAAAAGCCCAUCUUUAAACAGUUGAAGGCCCAAUCAGAGUGGGAUCAAGGGAAAUGUCUACACUUCUACAAGGAGCCAGUUUGGGAUCAGGUAAUUUGCACGUUUGAACUGCAGCAGUUGAAUAUUAUGGAAGGCCUUCAUAAAGUUGAGCAGAGUUGGAUGUGCGUGCAAUUGCAAAAGACAGAGGAAAAAAUCAAAAUGAACUACUUGAAGAAGAAGAAAGAAAGAUUUAGGAAAAUAAUAGAAAUAAAAUCAAUCAAAAUAAGUAGCUGCAGUUUGCUGAUAUUCUUCUGAACAGAACAUUGGGAAGAGACCCACGGAUGUGAUCAUUGUGAGUGUUUGAUGCUAUGGGAAGAAAUAAUUUUUCUAUUUUGCUGUUAUUACUAAAUUAUUGCUGCAUUGUGCUUAACUCAUACUGUGUAAGUCAUCUAAUGAAGAUUCAUUUCUAUCUAAUUUUUCGUUUUGAGAUAUAAGUGCUGAUAAUGCCAAGAAACAUGAGAUCAUAAUUGCCUAGUAAUAUGCAGUUUUUCAGACUCAUACUGAUUCAAAAUCUGAUUCAGGGACUUUUAUUUUUUAUUGAAUUAUUUUUACUGAAAUAUUGUUGAUGUACAAUGCUAUGUUAGUUUCAGGUGUAUAGGAAAGUGAUUCAGUUUUCUGACCCUUUUCCAUUAUAGGUUAGUAUUGAAUACAGUUCCCUGUGCUAUACACACUAGGUCCUUGUUGUUUAUGUUAUAUAUAGCAGUAUGUAUCCUAACUUAUACUUCCCUCCCUACUUUUAAAUUUACAUUUUAAAGAAGCACUCCCACAUGAUUCUUAUGCAUACAGCCAAUUUGGAACCACCAGAAAAAGGGCUUUUAGUAAUCGCUAUAUGUUGUGAGCCACACGAGAAGUCCAGUAAUCGCUGUAUGUUAAACACUUCCAGAUCUUAAGGAAUACUGUAAAGCUGUUAGGAGUACACAGGUGGUUGAGAACUUUGCUUUGCUAUCAGUGAAAAAGGCAGCUCUAUGAUAUUGUCUGUGGCUUGAGGUAUAAUUAUGACAUUGCCUGCUGAGAAAGGCAAAACCAUUCUGUUGACAAUCCCAGAAGGCUCAAAGGUAACUGGAGUUGCCAAGUAGGUUACGAAAAGCAGCUUUGCUUUGGGGGUUGUUGAGUGAUUCUUGCCGCAGAUGGGGUUUUUAGGGCCUUAUCAAGUUCCCUGAAGGCACCGAGACAGGACAUUUCCCCCAUUAAGUGGUAUGAAUCACUACAGGGAUCAUGAAAAACACAAAUGAAAGCCAGAUAGAAGUGCAAAUGCGGGUCUCAAAUAUUGAUCCUGUGGUCAGAAUUUCCUAUGAUACAUCUUUUAUUCUUAUUUCAUUUUAUUUAUAUGAAACCAUGCUUAAAAAAAAAAAAACCCGCCAGAUGCUUUUAAAUUUUGUAUUGCUCAUUUUUCUAUUAUUUGGUGACUCUAUGUAUAUGAUUUUAAAAUCUAAGUUUAUAGUGUGCUCUUUUCCUGUAUAACCAUGUUUUAAAGUGUACAAUGACAGCUAAGUUCAGUUGUAGAAACAUCAAUAAAUCCUCCAGAGCCAGCAGUAGCAAGGCUCAGCAGUAAGGAAGGCCCAUCCUCCUUGUUAGUUUCUACCAACCUCAUUAGCUAGAUCAGGGUCUCCAAAAGGAAGAGCCAGGUCUGUGGAAACACCCUAUCCAUGAGCUCCCCAGGCAGACAGGUGGCUCUCAGGGGAUCCGUUUCCAGAACCUCAAUCAUACAUAACAUAUCUCAACAUUAUCUGAGAACCUCCCAAGGUUCCACCUUUGCUUCACUUGACAAAGAAAGGCUAACCUCUCUCCAAGGCUAAUCUUACUAUGAUGCAAUUCCUAGAUUAAGAAAACCUCCAUGAUGCAAAUAAAGAGAAAUGUGAACUAUUUUGCUGAUAUUGAGAAAAUGAAUGCCUCUAAUGACUAACAUAUCCUUUUUCAUUUCUAAAUGACUUCAAAAUCUUUGCUUUCAGCAAAAUUGAAGGAAUACUAACCAAUAGAUAAUUAAAAAUGCUUCUUGGAUUCCACUGUGGCUCAGUAGAAACGAAUCUGACUGGUAUCCAUGAGGAUGCGGGUUUGAUCCCUGGCUCUGCUCAGUGGGUUAAGGAUCCAGCAUUGUGGUAAGCCAUGGUGUAGGUCACAGACAUGGUUUGGACCCCAAGUGGCUGUGGCUUAGGCCCAUGGCUGCAGCACCAAUUUGACCCCUAGCCUGGGAAUGUCCAUGUGCCACAGGUGUGGCCCUUAAAAAAAAACACUUCUUGAUAGAUUGUUGUGUGAUGUUUGGCAUGCAAGUGGCAAGGAAUUGAAAGAAUUGAGUGAUUUUACCAGAACAAAAUUCACUACAGUCUCAACUCACUGACAUGAACAAAUUUCCUGAGCCACUUACAUAAAAAAUAAUUUAAAAGAGCAAUGAAAUUGAUGUGGAAUUUUCAUUUAUACUUAUAUAUAUUUUUUUGUUUCAGAAAAUCAAGAUUGGUUAAAGACUGUCAAUCACAAAAUAUUUUAGGAUAAAUUCUGGGGACAAAGUGAAGUGGGGAGGAAGGAAGAAAUUUUGAACUUUUAAAAAAGAAUGUUUUCAACUUUUCAGUAUAGAUAUGACAGCAUCAAAUCUUUGUGACAUUUACAUCCCACUGGACAUAUUUUCAAAUGUAAAGUUAAAGUAAUAAAUGUCAGUAUUUAAAACAUACCAGAAAAUAUGUCAUUUUCAACUACUGAGAGUGUCUAAAUAUGUUAAAUGUUGAAAAUUUAGAUAUAAAUUUAAUUUUUUUAAUGUUAGGAGGGCACAUAGUUUUUCGAAAUUAUAAGAUAAGAAGCAAAACACUUACAACCCCUGAUGGGGCAGUAAUGAUCUGCAAAUGUCUGGAUUGCUAAGUGGGUUGUCAUGACGGCAGAGGGAUCCUGAUGCUGGUGGUUCAAGGACUGCAACUUGCCAAGGAGUACGUUUUCAUCCUCCCGAGUUUUGGGAAACAGUGGUUCAGAGGUGUGGCUUUAUCUAUAUGCAUAUGCUAGUAAUACAAUAGUACUUCCCUUCCAGUUUGAAUCCUUUACCCUGUAGGAUAAAGUUUUAUUACUUCCUUACUGGUAUCCAGAUAUCUCCUCCUAAAGUCCAUCAUGAUAGUAGCUUAAAGCCAUAAAAUCUGCUAAGUUCAAAUGAGCAGAGCUUCACCUGUAUUGCCUUCCACCUGAACAUUCAUUCAUUCAUUCAGAGUCUAGGAUGGGACCUGAGGAUCUGAAGAAGAAUCAGACAAGCUCCAAGUCCUCAAGUAGCUCCCCAUCAAAUGAGCCAUGGACACCAAUAUUUUUCAUACAUUGGAUAAACAGCAGAACAGAGAAAAGACUGAAAGACUUUGGAAACACUGGAAGCUGAGAUAUGGAGGCUUUGAGGACCAGGGAAGAGAGCCAGAGGAGUCAGAGAGAGCAAAUGGGGCAAAGACAAUUAUGCCUGAGACUCUUCCCAGACACGCAGGGCGGCUCCUUCCCUACCCAGGAAAUCAAAAUUUGGAACUUAGAAAUACAGAAGUCACGGAAAAAGAAGUUGUUGAUUUUGAGAGUGCUGCUGAUGUAAAGAUAUUUAAAGUUGGAAUAAACGGUGAACUGAAUGUCCUCUUUGGAUGCUAUGAUUAGUUGGUCAUUGGACUGGUAUGAUGAAUAUCCAGGAAAAUGGCAUUUAAAAGUUAAGUCCAAAUGAGGAAAAUCUUUUUUAAAGUGUUCAGCUCACUUAAUAUUUGGAAAUAAUAAGAGGUGAGAGAAAUAAAAUAAUGCUAAAAUAUUGCUUAUGAGAAACUUCUCCUGAUGAAAUCUUCCUAUUUUAAUAAAAAGCUCCAGUUUGAAAAGUGAUCUAUUAACUGUUUAAACUUAAUUUCUUGAUUACUAUAUUUUGUAACCUUGAAAUAGGGAAGUUCUCUUAAUCUAUUUAAAUGUAUCUUGACUUGCUUGAGUAAGAAGUAACUAAACAAGAAUGAUUUCCUUAAACCUUAAUGAUUUUUUAAAUAACUCAUUGAAUUUUCUCCUAAAUGUACAGAUACAUGUGUAAAUGAAAGCUGGGGAUGCUGUACAAAAUAUGAUUGCUUCAGUAUACAUCUUUAUGUCUUUGUGUUGCUCUGUUAUCAAUUCUAACUGUCCUUUUAAUGUAAAUACAUAUUUAACUGUGUC